GUCAUUGCAAGGAUGUCAAAAGCGCAACAGAACGUGUAUGUUAACAAUAUCUUCGAUGCAGGGAAAACAGAAGCGGACAAUAAUUUAGAAUAUGAAGAAUGUCUUGCUCCUGUUGACAAAUCCAUUUAUGAUGAACUAUCCUCAACGCAAGAGAAAGGAACCCCAAGUAAUGACUCUGUCAUUAUGAACUCAAUGCCAAGUGUUCAGUCUGAACAAUCAGACAAUUCAAUUCAUCAAAAGAAAUUAGCUCUAUUUAGGCCAAUGUUUCUUAUACUAUUUUGCAUUCUGAUUACAGCGUUAGUUACAUCUAUUGCCACUUUCUUUGCAACAAAAAAAAAAUCUCAGAUAAGAAGACCAUUCAUGCAACAGAAUGCAGUAGUACAUGUGGCGAUGAUACAGAACGCAGACUCCAACAACAAAUAAAUAAGACAGUGAUUUGUAGAAACAAUGAAACAAUUGACAGCUAUUCUUGUUCUAGAGAAUUCUGUCCUGGUAAUGGUGUACAUUUAGGCGUGCGCUUCAGUCGAACAGAAUUUUACUACUUAUACUAUAUGUCAGAUGAUAAUACAACCUUAAGUAAUUUGAAUACAGAUGAAACCUCUCGGAGUGCCUCGGCACGAUUAUCGACUUACAGAGGGACGAUUUCUGACUCAUGUGUAGGUGACGAUGAUUUGAUUUAUUAUGAAGUAAACUAUAUAUAUUCCAUACGUACUAAAUUGACCUUUUUUGAAACAAAGUAUAUAUUGGACGUUGGCAUUGCUGAACGUUCUAAUGUAGAUAAAUAUAUAGAUGCUGGCGGUACAGCAAGUGGAUGGUCAUUCAACAUGUUUUAUAGAGGAGAAUGGUUUUCUAAAAAUAGACAAAUUGUAUACAUAAAUGCUAGACAUAACGGAAAUAUCACAACAAGUCAAAGACUAUUAACAACUUAUGAAGGUGAAGAAUUACACGGACAACUAAAAAUUUUGAUUAACACCCGUAGAAAAGAGUUUACUGUUAAUCAUGACGAUUUGAAAGUUUAUGUUUUUGACGAGGUAAAAUCAAACGAAACCUUUUGUCCGGUAUUUGGAGUGUACAAUACUAACUAUGAUAACGUUCAACUAAAGAUACUGAAUUCUCUUUUUUUUUUAUGUAUCCUUGGAGAUCACGGGUAUAAUCUUUUUAAAUUUGUAAUCUUUUGUCCGCGCCGAAACUGACAUUUUCUUAAAAUAAACCAACAACAACAAACAAACAAAAAACUAGCUUUGUCUGUCAGUGUGUUUUCAUUUGAUGUGUAAUAACUUAAGUUUGCUUGUAAUUUUCAAAAUUGUUAUAUGCAAUGUUUGGAAUAUACAAACUUUUUUUUUGAAUCACCAUGGUUGAAGUUCAGAAGAAAAGUAUUUGUUGAUACUUGCUAUUCAUAUAUUUGGAUAGAUCAGCUGUUUCCUAACUCAGGUUGGCUAAUUUCUUCGGUAAAAUGCACCUACAUGAUCAAUUUAGAUAGGAAUGGCAUUCACUUAUGUUCUCCAACAUCUAUAAAUUAUAGAUUAUGGAAAGAAAGAUAUGAAUUUAAAAACUUGUAAAAUAUAUUGGAAGAUAAAGAUUUGUAUACGCUUUGUGAGUUCAGAACCACAUAUCAUAAAGUACUUAUAGAAACAAGACGAUGAAAUGAUAUAGAAAAGGAACACAGAAUAAGUUUGAAAUAUAAUGAUAACUAUAUUGGUGAUGAUUAUCAUUAUAUUCUGGAAUAUAAAACAUUUGUAAUUGACAGGAAAAAACAAAUAGAUACAAAUGUGUCUAAAACACCAAAUAUUUUGAAAUUCAAAAAAAUCAUGAGUUGUACAGACGAGUAUUAUUAGAAAAACUAUGUAUAUUUAUUCGAAAAAUGAAUAACUCAUUUGUUCUGUAGGUAAUAACAUAACUUCCCAUCCUUAUAUAAAUUGUACAUAACGAUAUAUAUGUAUGUAGGUAUUUGAAGAUAAUUUUUGUAUGCUUGUGUGUAUGUUUGUGUGUCUGAUUUAUUUUAAUUAAGUUUGGUUUCAUACCUAUAUGUAUGUAUAUAUCUGUACCAUUGUAACUUAUGGAUUAUGAGAGUAAAGAUUAUUAUUAUUUUUA